UGAUACGUAGGGGGCAAGCGUUGUCCGGAUUCACUGGGCGUAAAGAGCUCGUAGGCGGCUUAGUAAGUCGGCGUGUUAAAUCUCCAGGCUCAACCUGGAGUCGCACCCGAUACUGCUAUAGCUAGAGUCCGGUAGGGGACCAUGGAAUUCCUGGUGUAGCGGUGAAAUGCGCAGAUAUCAGGAGGAACACCAGUAGCGAAGGCGGUGGUCUGGGCCGGCACUGACGCUGAGGAGCGAAAGCGUGGGGAGCGAACAGGAUUAGAUACCCUGGUAGUCCACGCCGUAAACGUUGGGCACUAGGUGUGGGACUCUAUCGACGGGUUCCGUGCCGCAGCUAACGCAUUAAGUGCCCCGCCUGGGGAGUACGGCCGCAAGGCUA
rnacentral:rRNA from 1 species